GCCUCGCCCGUCCCGGUGACGCAAUUUCCGGCUGCAGCGCCGGGCCGAGCGGCGGCUCCUGAGCGGGUCCGGCCGAGCGGCGGGUCGGAUCGGGGCGGGAGAAGCGCCCGCGGGCGGGGCGCGCGCACCAAGGUCCGUGUGCGAACAGGCCCUGGGAGACCCCGGUCCCGGAACCGCCGGAGCUGAGCCCACAGCUGACGGCCUGGCGGUGCUUUGUGCAGGUGGCAGCGCAGAGGCCGCCAUGGAGACCCGGGUGUCCCAGCACGUUCCUGGUGGAGCAGCGCGUGGCCCGUGCAGCUUCGUGUGGGACAAGGGAGGCGACUGUGUCCGUGUUGACUCAGCCCUGCCUUCCAGGAGAAACAGCUACAACGCUCUCCCUGUGUGCUGCAGCCGUCCCGGGCCUUGUGCUGAGACCGAGCUCAUCACUUGCACAAGUACAGGCUGUCCUGGUUAGCGCUGCCGAAGCUUCUGCGGUAACGAGCGUGGUUGGGAGAUGCAGCGCAGGAGCUGCUGUUGUGCUUGCAGGGAAAACUGGCUGCUCUCGGUGUGGGGAAAGCAGGAGGAUUCGUUUUGUUCCUGCCUGAGCUGUGGUGGAUGAGGAGGUUCUGAGUGCCGCGCAGGACGGGUGGCAGCGCAGAGGCCGCCAUGGAGACCCGGGUGUCCCAGCACGUUCCUGCUGGAGCAGCGCGUGGCCCGUGCAGCUUCGUGUGGGACGAGGGAGGCGACUGUGUCCGUGUUGACUCAGCCCCGCCUUCCAGGAGAAACAGCUACAACGCUCUCCCUGUGUGCUGCAGCCGUCCCGGGCCUUGUGCUGAGACCGAGCUCAUCACUUGCACAAGUACAGGCUGUCCUGGUUAGCGCUGCCGAAGCUUCUGCGGUAACGAGCGCGGUUGGGAGAUGCAGCGCAGGAGCUGCUGUUGUGCUUGCAGGGAAAACUGGCUGCUCUCGGUGUGGGGAAAGCAGGAGGAUUCGUUUUGUUCCCGCCUGAGCUGUGGUGGAUGAGGAGGUUCUGAGUGCCGCGCAGGACGGGUGAGUGUGUCUGUAGAUGGAGGUGUUUUAAAUCAGCCAGUGUCACACGCUGCCUGUAAAAGUGUCUGUGUGAUCCCUUUCUACAGGCAGGUGCAAGUCACUGGAGUGUAUUUACAUUUAACUAAUCACUUCACCAAAUCUUCCGCUAUAUCCCCAUGCCUUACACCCUCUCGCUCAGGUGACUUGCUUCUGCUGGGUCCAACGAAUCCAGAGUUGUUCAUUUGUGCUUGUGAGGUGUAGCACAGAGCAGUUUACAGGGGCACACAAUAAACACUUACAGAAAAAGGGAGAAACAUUUCUGCAAUAAUCAGGUGUCCCAUUCAUCUUGUCAAGGAGUUACACGAGUUAUUCAGCCAGACAUUAUCAGUAGAUGGUUUCACUUGCUGCAUUAGUUCCAAAGGUGUGAGAUCUUGUCACCUUCCAGUAAUACAUAGGCUGCUGCUCCAGCUCCGUCAGCUGGUGUCAGUCUGGGUUUAACAACCUGCUGUGGGCCACGGUCUGAGCUCUGCCCGCGGGUGUGAGGAGCUGGGAAGGGGGGAUGGAUGGGGCAGAGCUUGACUGACACCCAGGCUGGUCAAUGAGAAUAUUCCAUUAGCGUCCUGCUGUGUCUUUAAGGAGAGUCGGGAUCUUGGGGCUGGGGUUUUUUUCAGAGCCGGGCCAGAGGCUUUUUCAGGUAUCUCUAGUUCAUCUCGAGGAAGACAGACAAAUAAGCUGCGACCUGUUGGAGGGACAAAGUGUGUUGGAUCUGAAGCCGUUGGUCAGGACGGGAGGAGCUGCCUUCUUGGGUCAGUGAUGGGUGUUGGCAUGUAUUAUCUGAGCUGGAGCUGAUGUCUGUCACCACUUGAGCUCUAGAAUUGCUCUGAGACCCAGGAAUCUCCAGUUCCUCGUGGAGCUUUUCCAGGCUGUGGAAUCCCCUUUCUGUCGCAGGUUGUAACGCAGCCCGUGGAGAAGGGGGCACUGUUUGAGGUUCCUCAGUUUGGGCGUUAGGGAGGCGUCGUUCUUGAGCUCACACUGGGCGUUACGAGGAGACGCUUUCACGUGAGCUGAAGGCAGCUCUGGGUACCCAAAGCUGUUAACCGGUGUUAACAAACGCUGCUGCCGAGAUUUGGGGGUGACGGCACCAGCCGGUUGUGACGAGCGUGGAUGUUGCUGAACCGCAGACACCGUCUCGUCCAGGCUGCACAGCCCGAGCGUUUGCAGGGCGGUGUCCCAGCUUCCUUUGAUUGCAAUGAGCACUCGUGUUGGGAUUUGGUUUUUAAGGAGCGUGCUCUGCUUGAGUCUUUUGUGUUGGGGUUUGUUCUGUUAUUUCACAAUGCCAUGAAAGUGCUGAAGUGCAGGAGGUUGAGAGCUGUUGGAGCAGAGAGGAGCACGUCUUGUAUUGCUUGGAUUUUCUGCAUUUCUGAUGGAGGACAUCGACCCCAGCAUCAGUUGGACCCCAGAAGGGCAUUGUUUGAAAAUGCGUGGCCAGGUUCCAGUGACGUGUUGGCUUGGGCGUGAAUGACUGGAAGUGCCUGUUGGGAGAGCUCCGUUGGUGUGGACUCGUGGAGCCUUUGUGAUUGAGCUUCUAGGUGCGAGAAUGCAAAAGGAAACUUGAGCUCAAGCCGGUCUUGCUCUCGAACCAGAAUGGCUUUGAGUCCUGCCCAGAUUUCUGGAGAGCCGUGAACGUUCCAAGCAGCCGAGGUUGUGGCCCAGGGUGUGUGAGUCGCCCGCUCUGCAGUUGUCCAGCGGGCCCUGCAGAUAAUGUUUGAGGUGACAAAGCUCUUGGCAGGCGACAGCGUUUGAGUUCAUUUGCUUCUAUCUGGGGAUAUAUGGACCACCUGAAAUGGUGGUGUUUGCGUUUACCUGCAGUAGACAGACAGACAGACCCCUGGAGUGUUCAUGUGCCCUUGUCGAUGAGUGAGGAAAUUGUCUGCGAUUCGGAAAAGGGAAGGGUCCGGGGACAGGUUUUAGGUGUUUUUUCCAGCUCCCUGCAAAACCUGGGGUUUUAGUGUUUUGUUCCAGAUUUUCCCUGGUGAUUUGAAUGUGUUCUUCCUGUUCCUGAAAAACUAAUAUAUUUCCUUUCCUGCAGCCCCGCCUUCCAGGAGAAACAGCUACAACGCUCUCCCUGUGUGCUGCAGCCGUCCCGGGCCUUGUGCUGAGACCGAGCUCAUCACUUGCACAAGUACAGGCUGUCCUGGUUAGCGCUGCCGAAGCUUCUGCGGUAACGAGCGUGGUUGGGAGAUGCAGCGCAGGAGCUGCUGUUGUGCUUGCAGGGAAAACUGGCUGCUCUCGGUGUGGGGAAAGCAGGAGGAUUCGUUUUGUUCCCGCCUGAGCUGUGGUGGAUGAGGAGGUUCUGAGUGCCGCGCAGGACGGGUGGCAGCGCAGAGGCCGCCAUGGAGACCCGGGUGUCCCAGCACGUUCCUGGUGGAGCAGCGCGUGGCCCGUGCAGCUUCGUGUGGGACAAGGGAGGCGACUGUGUCUGUGUUGACUCAGCCCUGCCUUCCAGGAGAAACAGCUACAACGCUCUCCCUGUGUGCUGCAGCCGUCCCGGGCCUUGUGCUGAGACCGAGCUCAUCACUUGCACAAGUACAGGCUGUCCUGGUUAGCGCUGCCGAAGCUUCUGCGGUAACGAGCGUGGUUGGGAGAUGCAGCGCAGGAGCUGCUGUUGUGCUUGCAGGGAAAACUGGCUGCUCUCGGUGUGGGGAAAGCAGGAGGAUUCGUUUUGUUCCCGCCUGAGCUGUGGUGGAUGAGGAGGUUCUGAAUGCCGCGCAGGACGGAUCCACGUUCUCCCCACCCAGACAGCUCAGGGAUGCCCCGGGGUCCAGGACCCUUGGUGGGGCAGGAGAUGCCCUGAUGCUGCUCACCUCGAGUUCAAGAGGUCGCAACAGCGUAUCCUGCAGUUCCAAGUCAACAUCUGGAAGAUCUGGAACCUGGUGUUUCUGCUGCAAAACAUCAUCCACCCUGGCAGACAGAGGGAGCUGGGGAGGAAGGUUGGGUGAGGGACACACUUGGGUGCACUGGGAGGCAGGAGAAAGCGAUGGGGUCAUUGGGGAAGGUGACUCCAGGGAAAAAUGGGGUACGUGAGUUUGUGUGGUGGGGCACAGAAAGCAGUGGAGGUCCUGGGGAAGGGGCUGUGUCCUGGGGUAUCCUGGGGUGCAGUGGGGUGUAGUGGGUUGUGAUGGGAUGGAUGGGAAUGCAAUGGGAGCCCUGGGCAAUGGGGCAUCCCUGGGAGAACACUGGGGAGCAGGGAUGUUCUGGGGGGCAGCGGGGGGUGCAUGGGAGUGUACGGAGGCACACUGGCAUGUUCUGGGGCGCGCUGGGAUGCCCUGGAGUUUCGUGGCCGUGGGAGGGAGGGUGUGGGCCAGCGGAACUUGUGACACCUACCGCAGCCCUCUUCACUCGCCCGAGGUUGAGUUCCCCCUGUAGAGAGACCAUGAGACCUCAGUGGUCACUGGGAUGUCCCAGUCCCAGCAAGGGAGGGGAGGGCCAAAGUGCCCUCCAGUUCCCCAGACUGGAUGUCCUCCAAGUCCGCCCCACUACUUACAUCCUGGAGAGAACCUCCACUUGCUUCCAGCCGUGCUCCUGGAAAUGCCUAUGAAAGAAGAGAAAGGGGUUGGUCUGGCUUGGAGAGAAAUGGGGCUGUGGGAGGGACACAGGUGACACCAGCCCCACCCAGGCCCGGGGAUUCUCCCUCAUAUGAGCCUGAAAAUUCCUUCUGCUCCCCCAGCCUCAUUCCUCAAGUUUCACCUGGGAUACCUGUUCAUGCAGGGACCAGGGCUCGGGUUGGAGAAAAUGAUAACAUGGGAAUUUGGGGCCUCCAAGGAGGACGGGGGUUGGGGGGCACCCAGAGACAGGGCACUGUUGUGAACUAGCAGAACCCAAGGGACCGGGCUGGGGGUGUUGGAGGGACAGGACUGCAUGGGAUGCAAGUGAGGGGUAAAGGAAUUCAAGGGGAGGGGACACGGGGAAUUCAAGUGAGGUUGUUGGUGGGGGCAGGAGGAAGAGGACAGCAGAGGAACAGAACGCGGGGAUCGGGAAAGUGUUUGGGAGGGGGUGUUCAAGGAAGGGGAUCUGGGGACACUGCUGCAGUGGACAGGAUGAAAGGCAAAGGACGGAGGGGAAAGAUGGAAAGAAAGGCAUUGGCAUCCAUCAAAGGGAAGGCAUUUGGGGACCCUAUAUAGGACACAGAGGAGAUCCUGAGGAGGAGAUACCUGAGGGGCCCAAAAGGAUGGAAUGGAGAGGCCCAAAGAAGAGGGGUGUGGGGGCACCAAGACAAGAAACCGGUGGGGGCCCUCACUGGAGCCUCACCUGCGCAUCCUCCGGGGUGCACAGCAGGAUGGUGAAGAGCAGGGCCACGCUGAGCACUGCGGCCUUCCUCUUCCUCUGCGGUGCAGGGAGUCCUGGGUGAUGCUGGAGAAGGUGAGGGCACCUUUAUCCCUCCCAGGACGACUCCUUGCCCCUCCCCACCCCUCCAGCCCCCAGGGCAAAGCCAGGCUUGGCACAGACACCGCCCUGGCAGCCCAGCCUCGGCACAGAGUCACCCCCGCCUUGAGCACUGAUCCAGCUGCCUUCCCCGGCAUCAGUGCAGCUUCCUGCAUGGGGCAGCUGCACAGGGAAGGGCCCAGGCAUCCACGGGGGCGAGGGGGGGCAGGAGUGUGUCCCUGACAGCCAGACACCCUGUGGUGAUGACCCACUGCUCCAACUCGAAACCAUCCUGCAACAGCCCCAAAAGCCAGAUCCCCCCACCUCCCAGUGCCCCGCACCUCCCAGCACCACCAUCUCCCAGCGCCCCUCAACGCCCAGGCCAGUCUUUCCCUGUGGAACCCCCUCAGAGAUGACACCAGCCUCAAAUCUGGGGUCUCUAAGCACAAUUAUCUCUGAGCCCUUUCCAGACCCUUAAAUAAAUGAGGGGCUGGGAGUCACUCCUCUUCUUGGGGCACCAGGGGCCCCAGGGUUAGGGAACUCUGGGAGGGGGGGGGAGAACUGGGGCAAUGGGCAGUGUGGACAGCUGGUGACUGGGAUCCUCAGUCACUGGUGGCACUGACAGUGGGGAGCACUGGUGAAUCCUGGGCUCUGGGAGAGCAGGGCUGGGCUUGGGGGAAGUGCUGGGGUGGUGUCAGUGAGAGCUCCUGCCCACCCCAUUUCCCUUGCACCGCCAGCCCCCAACUGGUCCAGUCUCCAGCCACAGCUGAGAACAGAGCGGAGGGAACGUCCCCUGCCCUGGCUCUCACCUGCCCCUGCCUGGGGUCACUGUGCCCUCCCAGACAACCUGGGGCCCACUCUGCAGAGCUGAUCCCGCAUGGUGGGUCCCAGUGUCCCUGUCCCCAACAAGGCUCUGGCUCCAGCCCCGUCCCUUCCUGGGACGUGGCCACAGCUCACCAAAGGCCCUUGUCCCCACCCAGUGUCCCUUCAAUGCCCCCAUCCCCGGCCCAGGCCAGCGCUGUCCCUGAGCAGGACGUGGCCGUCCAGAGGGACGUGAUGAAGCGGGCGCUUGUUCCCAGGCAGCCGCUCGGAGCCAAUUGCGGGACGGAGCUCCCCUGGCACGAGGAGGGAUGUUUGCUGCCACAGCGGCUCUGAUAAGCUCAGUUUGCCCAGGGCCCAUGGCACAAGAAGCCCGUUCACCAAGAUCGGUGCCUCACCACAGUGCCUCUGGACACUGUGGGGCAGCGUGAGAGCGGGGGAAUCGGUUUAUUACUCCUCUCUGAGUCGGGAGAGCUGCUGGUGAAGCUGUCAGCAGCUGGUGAAGACCUUUUCCAGCAGUCAGUCAUCAUUACAUUCGGGCUUUCCUGUCACAGAAUCAUCAAAUCACAGACAUGACCUUCAAAGCUCCUCUAGGCCAAUACCAUCCAGGUAUCACAAGUUCUGCUGGCCGCAGACCCUUGGAACUCCUUUCAAGUGACAUUUCUACCCCAAUUUUUAGUCACGACAGUAUCUGUAAGGUAUUUUGUAUCUCAGCACUUUCAUGGCUAAACGUGGUAGAUAUCUGAACACGGCACUUGAGCUUCCACAACUAAACACUGUUCCAAAGGUUUUUUUGUUAUUUCCUUGUCAGAGCACUAAUGUGCACGUUGAAGUGUCUAGACUGUCACUGUGGUUUCCUAGGAACUCAAGUGCUGUGGCUGGUACCUGUUUGUAAUACUUGGGACAUACGGAUUGGCUGAAGUUACCUUCCUGUUUUGGUGGCUGACUGUUUAAGAACACAAACCUGGAGUACAGAUUUCAUGUUUCUGAUGCUUAUGUAGCAGAGACAAAAUAUCUGAGGAGUUCCUCUGGCACGGUUGUGUUCUAGAUCUGCAACUCUUAAUUUGUGACAGAGUAGGAAUGUGAUUUUGGCUUGGGGUUUUUUUAGUUGCCCUGAAUGUACCGAGAGAGAACAGUUCAUACAAAUAAAUUGCCACAUUCACUAGCCUAUCAGAACAUAGGCUUUUGAUAUUGAGGCUUUACAAUCUGUUUUCAUUGUUUCAUGUUGGGUUUUACCUGAAGUUCUGAUCACCUUUAUUUUUCCUUCUAGAAGUCAAAAGGAACCAGUGAGUGGAACAUUAAAAGCAGCACGUAAAAACACAUUCUCACUUUCUCUCUACACACUACACUGAAUUCUAGACAAUGUAGCCUUGUAUUGAUUUUACAAACGUUAACGUGAUGUAUUUUCCACUAAGACAUAGGCUGUGUUGUAAAUCCAAAGUGAGUAAUGCCAUGGUUUGCACAGUUCUGAUGUGAAUAUUGGUGUUUGUACCCAGCAGGACGUUGUAUUUCGUAUUGAAUGUGCCAGAAUAUUUCCGGUAUGACUUUGUGUUGUACAGAUAAUGUCAGGUUGUUUCUAGAUCAUGCGGGUUCAAGGUUUGCACAGCUGAACGUGCUGCCAUGGGCUGCAUCUGUCUGUCCAGAGCCGGUAACAUGUAUGUUUGUAUAGCUUGCUGUGUGAUUUCUGUUUCUUGCAAAAAAAAUUGUUUGGAGUGUAGUUUUUGCCAUUUUCACAUUGUAUCACUCAGCUCUUGUUUUUCAAUGCUUUUUUUUUGCCUAAUGGUUUUUGAAAAAGUUAUCAAAAACGACUGAGAAACCAUCAUUGUUAAACUUGGUGCUGUUUCUUACUUCUGACUUGGGGAUUCAAAGAAACACCCAAACCAAUACAUCCCAUAUGUUUGGAGGGCACUUCUGUGCAGCUAAAUUAUUCCUUUUCUUGUCAUUAAAUACUUGGGUAUUUGUUCCUAAAA